rnacentral:tRNA from 1 species
GCGACAUAGCCAAGCGGUAAGGCGUAGGUCUGCAACACCUUGAUCGCCGGUUCGAUUCCGGCUGUCGC